AAAUAGGGCGCAGGGCGGAUGCCCUGGCACUGGGGGCCGAUGAAAGGCGCGAUAAGCUGCGAAAAGCUGCGGGGAGUGGCAAAUGCACUGUGAUCCGCAGGUGCCUGAAUGGGGGAACCCGCACGGGCAGAGCCCGUGCAUCCGCGGCUGAACACAUAAGCCGCGGAGGGGAACCCGGCGAACUGAAACAUCUAAGUAGCCGGAGGAAAAGAAAACAAUAGUGAUUCCCAGAGUAGCGGCGAGCGGAAUGGGAACAGCCUAAACCUCCAUGCGUGCAUGGCGGGGUUCGGACUGCAUAAAGCCCAAGCCGGGCGUAGCCGAAUGGCCUGGGAAGGCCAGCCAUAGGGGGUGAGGGCCCCGUAGGCGUAACGCAGGCAAGGGCAGCAGGAUCCAGAGUACCACAGGGCACGAGGAACCCGGUGGGAAUGAGCGGGGACCACCCCGUAAGGCUAAAUACUACCCAGUGACCGGUAGAGCACAGUACUGUGAAGGAAAGGUGAAAAGGACCCCGGGAGGGGAGUGAAAGAGAACCUGAAACCCUGCGUCCACAAGCUGUGGGAGCGCCGCAUGAAGCGCGACCGCGUACUUUUUGUAGAACGGUCCGGCGAGCUGCGGCAGCUGGCAAGGUUAAGCCGCAAGGCGGCGGAGCCGCAGUGAAAGCGAGCGUGAAGAGCGCGCCAUGGAGUCAGCUGCCGCAGGCCCGAAACCGGGUGACCUACCCAUGCCCAGGCUGAAGCCGCCGUAAAAGGCGGUGGAGGGCCGAACCCACACCCGUUGAAAAGGGUGGGGAUGAGGCGUGGGUAGCGGAGAAAUUCCAACCGAACCCGGAGAUAGCUGGUUCUCCCCGAAAUAGCUUUAGGGCUAGCCCUGCAGAUGCCCUGCCGGAGGUAGAGCACUGGAUUUCCUAGGGAGCGUCAAAGCUUACCGAAGAAUACCAAACUCCGAAUGCCGGCCAGGGGCCAUGCAGGAGUCAGGCCGCACGAGAUAAGUCGGGCGGCCGAGAGGGGAACAGCCCAGACCCGCGGCUAAGGCCCCAGAGUGUGUGUUAAGUGGGGAAGGAUGUGGGGCUUCAAAGACAGCUAGGACGUUGGCUCAGAAGCAGCCAUGCGUUUAAAGAGUGCGUAACAGCUCACUAGCCGAGAGGCCCUGCGCCGAAAAUGUCCGGGGCUGAAACACACCGCCGAAGCCCGGGGCCCAUGGCAUGUGGCCAUGGGCGGUAGGGGAGCGUCCCCAUGCCGGGGAAGCCGCACCGCCAAGGGGCGGUGGAGGCAUGGGGAGCGAGAAUGCCGGAAUGAGUAGCGAGAUGGGGGUGGGAAUCCCCCAGGCCGGAUACCCAAGGUUUCCGGGGUAAAGCUGAUCUGCCCCGGGUAAGUCGGGGCCUAAGGCGAGGCCGGGAGGCGCAGCCGAUGGACAACAGGCGGAGAUUCCUGUACCAGGGCGCGGCAGAACUGCGGGGACGCAUGGGAAGAGGGGGAGCCGGGAAAGGGAAGACCGGCGCAAGCGCGUGAGGCGGGCGGCAGGAAAAACCGCCGCCGGGAGCCGGGCGCGCGACGCGGAGCGAAAAAAAGUAGCGAAGCCCCCAAGGCCCGUGCCAUGAAAAGCCGCUAUGGCCCGCGCCCUGCCCGUACCGUAAACCGACACAGGUGGGUGGGGAGAGGAUCCCAAGGCCGGCGGGAGAAGCACUGCCAAGGAACUCGGCAAAAUGGCCCCGUAACUUCGGGAGAAGGGGCGCCGCCGCGAGGCGGCCGCAGGGAAGAGGCCCAAGCAACUGUUUAGCAAAAACACAGGCCUAUGCAAAACCGCAAGGUGAGGUAUAUGGGCUGACGCCUGCCCGGUGCUGGAAGGUUAAGAGGAGGGGUCAGCCGCAAGGCGAAGCCCUGAAUCCAAGCCCCAGUAAACGGCGGCCGUAACUAUAACGGUCCUAAGGUAGCGAAAUUCCUUGUCGGGUAAGUUCCGACCCGCACGAAAGGCGUAAUGAUUUGGGCGCUGUCUCGGCAGUGCGCCCGGUGAAAUUGAAGUGCCAGUGAAGAUGCUGGCUACCCGCGCCAGGACGGAAAGACCCCAUGGAGCUUUACUCCAGCUUGAUGCUGGGACACGGUGCUGCACGUACAGGAUAGGCGGGAGGCAAUGAGCCGCAGGCGCAAGCCGGCGGGGAGCCGCCGUUGGGAUACCGCCCCUGCAGCAGUGUGUCCCUAACCUGCGCCGGAUACCCGGCGGGGGACAACGUCUGGCGGGGAGUUUGACUGGGGCGGUCGCCUCCGAAAGGGUAUCGGAGGCGCUCAAAGGUCCCCUCAGGAUGGACGGGAACCAUCCGCAGAGUGCAAAGGCAUAAGGGGGCCUGACUGCGACACCGACGGGUGGGGCAGGCGGGAAACCGGGACUUAGUGAUCCGGUGGCGUUAAGUGGGAAUGCCAUCGCUCAACGGAUAAAAGCUACCCUGGGGAUAACAGGCUGAUCACUCCCAAGAGUCCACAUCGACGGAGUGGUUUGGCACCUCGAUGUCGGCUCAUCGCAUCCUGGGGCUGUAGCAGGUCCCAAGGGUUGGGCUGUUCGCCCAUUAAAGCGGUACGCGAGCUGGGUUCAGAACGUCGUGAGACAGUUCGGUCCCUAUCCGGCGCGGGCGCAGGAAGCCUGAGGGGUGCCGCCCUCAGUACGAGAGGACCGGGGCGGACGGGCCGCUGGUGUGCCUGCUGGGGACCAGCCCCACUGCAGGGGAGCCAAGCCCGGGAGGGAUAAGCGCUGAAGGCAUCUAAGCGCGAAGCCCGCCCCAAGAUGAGGCUUCCGGGCCCAACAGGGCGAAGGCCCCUUAGGGAACAUGAGGUAGAUAGGCGGCAGGUGGGAGCGCAGCAAUGCGUGGAGCCGCGCCGUACUAAUAGGCCGGAAGC
rnacentral:rRNA from 1 species